rnacentral:misc_RNA from 1 species
UAUUUUAUGUUUUCCUCACACAGGAUAAGGACAUGAAGCACAAUUUACUUAAUUCAUAACAUAUCAUACAUUGUGCUUGUAAUCAAAAGAUUACCUACUGUUCAACAGACUGAUGAUGCUCAUUCAGAUAAGUCUCCGCUAAGGCUGUGUGUAAUGCUGCUCCAAUUGGAAGAACAUCUUCAUCAAGAAAGAAAUGAGGUGAGUGUGGGGAGUGAAUU